GGUGUCAAACGCACCUAGUUGUAAACAAAUGGAAAUUGAAAGUAAAAGUGCAACGGCACGGUAUAAUUUUUCUGGCAUUUUUUGUUUUCCAAUAUCUCGAACUUUCACGACAAAAAGGUCAUUUGCCCGAAAUUCAAUACAUGUAUCAGUGAGAGGGGCUAAAGUUUGUAUGGAAGUCUAUGGGAAAACAUUUGGUGGUGUUUGUCCUAUAGAAUAGCAAUGCAUUAUCAAGAAGGAAGAGAUUAAUGAACCCUACCCUCUUACAAUGAACAACACAUGGACACUCUCGGGAUGAUCCCUUUGCUUUCAUUAAGAGUUCCAAGAUGUUGGUCUGAUUGACUGGGGUGUGAAAUGUAACAGCCAAUGGUGUACUUAAGCUAAGACUGUCAGUCCCAAUAUUCAAGAGGUGAGAUAAGCAAUGGAUAUGUGUUCUAAAUUUACUAAAUUGACCACUUUUUAUAAAUGUUUCUUUUACUCUAUAGGAAAAACCCCUACAUAAACAAAUACAUGGGCGCAGACAUUUUGGACACCCAAAGUUGUGCGGAGGAGAAAAUGCUAGCUGGCGCGUGAUUGGUCAAUAAGAGAAAAGACUUGUUAUGUAUUUGACAAGUGAAAUAAAGUUGAUAAAAAUCUCAUAUCAAGACUUGGGUUUCUUUGAGGUAUAUAGGAGUUACAGCAAUGCAUUAUCAAGAAGGAAGAGAUUAAUGAACCCUACCCUCUUACAAUGAACAACACAUGGACACUCUCGGGAUGAUCCCUUUGCUUUCAUUAAGAGUUCCAAGAUGUUGGUCUGAUUGACUGGGGUGUGAAAUGUAACAGCCAAUGGUGUACUUAAGCUAAGACUGUCAGUCCCAAUAUUCAAGAGGUGAGAUAAGCAAUGGAUAUGUGUUCUAAAUUUACUAAAUUGACCACUUUUUAUAAAUGUUUCUUUUACUCUAUAGGAAAAACCCCUACAUAAACAAAUACAUGGGCGCAGACAUUUUGGACACCCAAAGUUGUGCGGAGGAGAAAAUGCUAGCUGGCGCGUGAUUGGUCAAUAAGAGAAAAGACUUGUUAUGUAUUUGACAAGUGAAAUAAAGUUGAUAAAAAUCUCAUAUCAAGACUUGGGUUUCUUUGAGGUAUAUAGGAGUUACAGCAAUGCAUUAUCAAGAAGGAAGAGAUUAAUGAACCCUACCC